AAAUAUAUUAGUUCGAAAUAACAAAUAAAUUGUAAGACGCUUGGUAAAAAUGGAAAAAUUCCAUUUAAACUCGGGAAAGCUAACAGCUUUUUUAUUUGGUCCUAGUACUCUACUCGACUCCUCGACCAUCUUCUCCUUAUUUUUACGACUUCUCAUGACUCGUAUUCUCGGUUUGGUUUAUCGAAAAAGUGGUUGAUAAGACGCAGACGCACUCUUAUUUCUUGAUAGUUCUUGAUACUAUGUACAUAUGAUAACCAUACCUGAAAACUCGUAAAAAUAUGUCGUUUGCCACCUAUUGCACAAAUAAUGCCUUUAUGUGGUCAACUGUUAUUAUAAUCAAAAAAACAUUUGGAUACGACGCAUUGCUUGUAAAUAACUACUUAUAGCUUGUUUGUAAUUUUAUAAACUUCUACAUUAUUGUUGGCCGUAAAAGAUGGUAAUAUUUAUGGCUGUAGAAGGUUUUUAGAUUCGAUAAUGAAUCAAGUGAUUUUCAUUGAAUAUAUAAACGAGAGUGUCUGCUUUGUAUCAUGUCGAACUGAGUUUCCAAAGAAUGUCGCGCGUAAGAUGAAAAAGCGAAAACAAAAAAACUUUUCAAAGCUUCCCUAAACGUUAAAAUUUUUUUCCCGUUGUUGCUCUUUCGCGUGCGUACAUUGAAUUUUGUCAUUAACUUUUUCUUUCACAGGCGUUAGUGUAUACAACGGAAUGUGCCGACAUAGCAACGCAGCUGAACAAAAUGAAUAAAAAGUGGCUUAGGUCGUAAAAGACUAGCUUUCCGGGCAGGGAAGGGGUUGAUGCACACGUGUGCGGUUGCUGUUCGUGCUUCGAGCGGUAACUGCAAUUUUAUUCCGAGAUCGUCUCACUGGAUUACGUUGAGUCAACUUUUCACGCGAAGUGAAGGUGAUAGCUUUCAUAUUGAGAGCUGCGUGUAACAUCAUUUCUGUCGGAUUGAACUGAGCAAUUUAUAUUAAAUCUGCAAAAUGAUUGUUCACGCCAACGUGUCAUUGGUGUGGACCGCAUACUGUAGCAUAUAGAAGGGGUAAAACUUAAUGCCACACGCUUUGAAAAUGCGGGAGGGGGGGACGAAAGUAAAGCUCAUAGCGAAAAGUGAUUUCUCAAGAAUCACAUUUCGCUCGAUAAGAGGAUAGAAGAAGCAGAAUCGGCAAGCCGAAACGUCGCUGAGUAGCUGAAAUCAGAAGUGCGUUGCGAGCCGGUGCCUAAUAGACUGCCUACAGCACGGUGGGCAUGUGGUCGUUGAAAAAACUUCGUGCAACAGAAACGUUUGUGAUUGCCGAGCGUUGUUAAUUUCGCAAAUUUCUAGAAACAGGAACAGUUAAUCGAACCAAAAUUGAAUAUCCAAAGAAUUUAAGCAAUACCCUUUGUAUACAUGCACGUGUGCGAGAAAGUGAUUUGAGCCGCGUGAUAGAGUCAAAUAUCGUCUGCGUCAAUCAGAUUUGUUGUUUUACAAUAUAUUUAAAUCAUGGAAGAAUUUAUAGUUGAUAACGAUGGUUACACAGUAGUAUACACAGAUAAAGCCUGUCAUUUGAAUAGUUAACCUGGUGCCAAAGCAGGAAUUGGAGUUUGGUUUCAUGAUAAUUCUUCAUUCAAUUUAUCACUGCCGGUGACAGGAAGAGCAACAAAUAAUAAUGCAGAGAUACAAGCAAUCACUGCAGCAGCCAAUCAGGCCAAGCAAUUGGUAUUGAAUUACUGAAAAUUUAUACUGACUCACAAUUUUCCAUUGACUGUGCCACAAAGUGGUUACCUAUUUGGAAGGUAAAUGGGUGGUGUACACAGAAUGGGAAUGUUGUCAAUAAACAAGAACUUUUAUUGAUGGAAAAGUCUUUGACAAAAUUAAAACAUGUAAAAUUUGUACAUGUCAGAAGUCACCAGGGUGACUAUGGUAACCAGCAAGCUGACCAAUGGGCUCGUGCUGGGUAGGCUUACUACCAACAGUAAUUUGUAGUUAUUACAAUCUCAAGAUCAUUAAUUUUUACUUUUCUAUAUGU